rnacentral:misc_RNA from 1 species
AUUUCAGCAAACGUCGUCACUCCUCGAUCUUGUCAAAUCUAACGGCGUUAACUUUUUACCCAAAUUUUAUCGAACCACCAGGUUCGAUUGCCACACCUCAGGUUCGGACCUUACCAUCUACGGUUUAUAAUAUAGCCGACAUCACUUUAACUUGCAUUUUCAGUCGCUCAUUGGUCACUCCAAAUUUCCCGGCUACCGUGAUUCUGUAGGAAAAUUCAUUUCGGCGAAGUUGGAAAAUUUGAAUCGGAUUUGGCUGAUCGCGAAAGCAUGGCGGAGCAUUCUGAAAGUCCCAUUGAGUCGGUGAUGGAGAAGAUAAGCGAGAAUAUUCACGCUCACGAUUCGUCGUCGUCUUCUGAUUCCGAUUCGGAAACGGAAAAAAAACCGGAUUCGCCUUCUUCGGUGAAGGCGAAAAUUUUUCGGUUGUUUGGGAGGGAGAAACCCGUACACAAGGUUUUUGGUGGAGGAAAGCGUGCGUAUUACCAGAGUUCUUUUUCGCUUUAUUGCUUUACUAAUUCAUUUUUUUUAAGCAUAUGUUUUGUUAAUUGAUGUUUAGGUUUUACUCUGUCUAGUCAUAGAGACUUAGAUUUGAUGUGUCUAUGCUCCGUUGGUUUAUCGCAUUGAAAAUGAUUUUGUUGGUUUUUUAGGGGUAAAAUAAAAGUGAGCAUUUGCUGCUUUAGAAAAGGCAGUGAGUCAGAGAGCAGAUAAUGUCUUCAGAAUUUUCCUUAUGAAAUCUUCGAUUAGGAAUUGGAUUUGUCUCUGGAAUAACUGAUUCAGAUAUUCGUUAUGAUGCUUUGAUUAAUAAUCACGCAAACCGAAAAAAGGGAAUUGAAUUAAUCUGCCCUGUGAAUGACCAGCUAAGUAAGCUAUGUUGGCAAUUGAUCAUAAUAAGCAUUAGUUAAAAGAAAACUUCAAAAUAUUUCAUCAUUUUUGUUAGAAUUUCUUUUUCAGUAAGUUUUUUUUGAGAGUUGCUGUGCCAUCACCAAUCCUAGUUUGUUGUUCUGCUGGACGCUAAUGUGUUCGUGUUCCUUUCCUUGUGUCAUUUGUGUGACAUGCAGCUGCUGAUGUGUUGUUGUGGAGAAACAAGAAGAUCUCAGCUAGUGUGCUUGGAGUUGCCACUGCAAUUUGGGUUCUUUUUGAGUUGAUUGAAUACCACCUACUUACUUUAGUGUGCCAUAUUUUCAUCCUCUCUCUUGCGGUCUUGUUUCUGUGGUCCAAUGCUCAUACAUUUAUCCAUAAAACUCCACCUCGCAUCCCACAAGUUCAAUUACCGGAAGAACCAUUCCUGCAGGUUGCUUCAGCGCUGACAUUUGAAAUCAACCGAGGUUUUGCAGUCCUACGUAAUAUUGCAUACGGAAAAGAUUUGAAGAAGUUUCUCGUUGUAUGUCUCAGUAUUUAUCCUGUUAUUUAUAUUUCUAAUGGCUCUGUUGGAAUUGGAGCAGAUCAUUUAUAGUUAUAUGCUAUUUUAGUUUUGGUGCCGUCAGAUUUGUGUAUGUUCUUUCUUUCACUCUUUGACAUGCUCGUGACCUUGUUUACUUUACUUAUUCAGAUAGGACAUCGCUCAUAUUUAUAAUCCAUUUUCUAAAGUUGAUUUUCUUUUAAUUUUUUAAUCAGGUUAUAGCUGCCUUGUGGGUCUUGUCAAUUGUGGGGAGUUGGUGCAAUUUCUUGACCUUGUUUUAUACAACCUUUGUUUUACUGCACACGGUGCCAGUUCUAUAUGAGAAGUACGAGGACAAGAUAGAUCCAUUUGCAGAGAAGGCAACAAUUGAGAUAAAAAAGCAAUAUGCAGUGUUUGAUGCUAAGGUUUUGAGUAAGAUCCCAGUGGGUGCAUUGAAAGCCAAGAGGGGUUAGAGUGGCUGAUUGCUCUAUUUCGUGCAGACAUUUUUUAAUCAUGGGUUUGUAGGCUGUGAUUGCUCUUCAUAGUUUGCUAGAGCUCUUCCUUUUGUUUUUUCUAAAGCCCUGUCAACUGUUUCCAAUUGUUUGGGAUUGCAGUUUGAAUGACUUUGAUAUUUCAUAGGGUUACUUUCAAGUUGGAGGUUUAUUUGAAAGCUUUAUGAUAUGUCUGCAGGUGGUAGUACUUUAACAAGGGUUACUUUCGAUGUUCUUAUGUUGGAUGUCUUUUGAUUCCUUGUAUGUGGUUUCUCUUCCAAUUUCGGACCGUUAUGCUGCUUGGUAUCCUGAGUAUUUGGUUUUUGGUUGAGUCUAAUAUUUGACUACGAAUAGUAUGUUAAUUGAACCAAUUAUUGCAUUGAUGAAAUAAAACAUUGUGGAGCAUGGGAAUUCAUAACUUCGUUUGCAAUUUAGGCAUCGUGUGGAGUUCUAAAUCUUAUCUAGCAUGGAAGCAUAUGAAAUAUAAAAUUGAAUACAUAUAAAAUUUUAUCCUAGUAUUUCUGCUUGGCUACUAAAUAUAUAAUUCUUUUGGUACUUACGAUUUUGGAAUAUUUAAUGAUAUUCUAUUUAGUUUUGAAAUACUUAUUUUAGCAUGAGGUUUACUAACCUCUAAACAAGAUUUGCCCAUAUGUCUAGAUAGGAGAAUGUGAAGCCAUAGCGAAUUUCUUGAAAGUUUCAAUUUUCAAGAGCAUAUGGUGUGAAAAAUAAUUGUUUCUAGUCAUUGAUUGAAGGGUUGAAAUUUUGGCAAAUGCAUCUUACUAUUGCAUACUGCUGCAACAUUGUCUCAUUUGCGGUAGAAAUGAUGAGACUUUGGAACAUUUAUUAUUUUGGUGUGAUCAUGCCAGGGCAACUUGGUUCCUUGGUCCUUUGGCAUACAAACUUGAUACGGUGGGUUUUCAAUCUUUUGCAAGGUGGUAGGAAGCAAUACUAGGUUUGUUCUCGAACUUAACAAUUGACGACUGGAUUCUAGUUUCUAUCUUGCUCACAUGGUACGCAGUGUUUGAGCUGAGCAUCCGGAUUCAAGGAAUAUAGUUAAACAAAUCCUUUCUUUGCUAAAUGAGAACCAAUGAUUAGAAUCAAACCAUGCAGAUAUUUCUAACCUUCCUACAAGACAAGAUAAUCACAAAUGGAUGCCUCCUCAGAAAGGUGUUCUUAAAUUCAAUUGUGAUGCAGCUUGGAAGGAAGGCUAAAAUCUUGCGGCAAUUGCAGUUGUCGUAAGAAACUAUAAUGGUUGUAUUGUUGAUGGGAGGGCUAAAAAGGUAUACAACUCUUGUCCUUUGGUUGUAGAAGCCUCAGCAGUAUUGGAAGCUGUAAAAUUAGCCCGUGAUAUGGGGAUAGCAACUCUUACCAUAGAGUUUGACUCUGAAAUGCUUAUAGCAGUAAUUCAGUUCCCUGCCAAGCACCAAUGUUGGGAAAUCCAAGCUCCAGUUCAUAAUAUCACAAGUUUGUCUUCUUUCUUCCUGGAGAUUUCUUUCUCCAAGAUUAUUAGGCAACCUAACAAAGUUGUGGACCAUGUUGUUAAACUUUGAAUUUCUGACCAGCUUUGUGGUAACUGGCUUUCUAUUCUCUUAGCUUCGUUGGAUAUGCUUUGUAAUGUUGAUGCCCCUAGGACUUAUUAAUGCAUUCCCUUUGCACGUUAAAAAAAAAAAAAAAACAUUCGUUUGGUUAUUAUAUUUCGAUUUGUCAAUGCAUGUAAAAUUGUUAUUGUAUUUCUGACCUUGGACUUCUAUGGAUCAUGGAGUGCACUGACUCUGGCAUUCUAGCGAUGAGAGGUCUGCGGUGAUAAACUGAUAAUUGAUGGGCCAAGUUCUGCCAGAGGAGUGCAAGCAGUAGGCACAGCGCCCUGGCUACAGGUCAACUGUCAAAUUGGAAGAGAUCGAAACAAAAAACGGUGGAUAUCAUGCAAUUCGAAGUCCAUAUUGCCCGGCUGUGUAAAAUAGCGCUAAGGCCUAAGGCCUAAGGGUUGUAAUGUUGGGUGCGACUGCUGCCAAGCAUAGCAUGCCCUUGAGUUAUUAAACUACAGAUGCAUUUGUAAGGAAGAUUUAAUCAUUAGCCAGAUCCUUGGGACAUGCCCUGAGUUGGGAGCUGAAACGUUCUGGCACUGAAACUGACACAGUUCUUGCCUAUGGAAAGUCUGAAUGCAAUAUGGUUCACCAAUCACCAUAAUAAGUUUGUGAUUUGGGUUAGUUACCAAAAAAAACCCUGAAGCCGGCCUCAAAAAACACUUGGUCCCUGCUGUGUCAAAAUUCCUAAUUGCAAAUUCAUGUGAUGUGCUAAAAUGGUAAAUACGAUCUUUAAUGGUCCAGAAAAGAAAAUUAAAGAAAAUAGAACAUAAGAAAGACACAGCCUUUUGCAGUGUGCUGUGCAGACCCAUAGCGCCUUGAGUUGUGAGCAAAACAGACAAUUAUGAUAAGGUAACUGACCAAGCCUUUUUUUAUGAAUUGU